UACAGAGGUCCCAAGCGUUGUUCGGAUUCACUGGGCGUAAAGGGUGCGUAGGCGGUCGGGUAAGUCUGAUGUGAAAUCUCACAGCUUAACUGUGAAACUGCAUUGGAUACUAUCCGGCUCGAGGAAUGGAGGGGAGACUGGAAUACUUGGUGUAGCAGUGAAAUGCGUAGAUAUCAAGUGGAACACCAGUGGCGAAGGCGAGUCUCUGGACAUUUCCUGACGCUGAGGCACGAAAGCGUGGGGAGCGAUCCGG
rnacentral:rRNA from 1 species